GAUGAACGCUGGCGGCGUGCUUAACACAUGCAAGUCGAACGGAAAGGCCCAAGCUUGCUUGGGUACUCGAGUGGCGAACGGGUGAGUAACACGUGGGUGAUCUGCCCCGCACUUCGGGAUAAGCCUGGGAAACUGGGUCUAAUACCGGAUAGGACAGUGGUUUGGAUGCCAUUGUGGAAAGUUUUUUCGGUGUGGGAUGAGCUCGCGGCCUAUCAGCUUGUUGGUGGGGUAAUGGCCUACCAAGGCGUCGACGGGUAGCCGGCCUGAGAGGGUGUACGGCCACAUUGGGACUGAGAUACGGCCCAGACUCCUACGGGAGGCAGCGGUGGGGAAUAUUGCACAAUGGGCGCAAGCCUGAUGCAGCGACGCCGCGUGGGGGAUGACGGCCUUCGGGUUGUAAACUCCUUUCGCUAGGGACGAAGCGUUAUGUGACGGUACCUAGAGAAGAAGCACCGGCUAACUACGUG
rnacentral:rRNA from 1 species